rnacentral:misc_RNA from 1 species
AACUCUUGGUGCCUCAAGAGCAGCCUGCAAGUAUUAGAGGAAAAAAUGAACAACCAUUUACUAGCUACACAAAGUAAACCAGCAGUAGAAGCAGCAGUCAUGGCAAUAAAAGAUCUCAUUUUUAAGAAGAAACACCAUUCUCUAGGAAAAGAAACAACAUUCUUUUUCAUGCAAUUUAGGGGAAAAAGGAAAGGCACAUGAAAUUAUAUGCAAGAAAAAGGAAUGAAUGCUAGACUUACUAGGCAUAACAAGCUAAAUCGCA